GGGUCAGUAGGUUGGUCGUGCCACCGGUACGUACUGGUCUCACUGAUUUCUCCUUCCUGAAGAACCGUAAUGCCAUUAAUUUGGUGUUGCGGGGAAACAGGACUGUUACUUUGAAAAAAUUAGAGUGUUUAAAGCAAGCUAACGCUUGAAUACAUUAGCAUGGAAUGAUGAAAUAGGACGAUCGAUCCUAUUUUGUUGGUUUCUAGGAUUGACGUA
rnacentral:rRNA from 1 species